AGUCGAGCGAUGACGAGGAGCUUGCUCCUCUGAUUUAGCGGCGGACGGGUGAGUAACACGUGGGCAACCUGCCCUGCAGACUGGGAUAACUUCGGGAAACCGGAGCUAAUACCGGAUAAUCCAUUUUACUUCAUGGUGAAAUGUUGAAAGGCGCUUUCGCGCCACUGCAGGAUGGGCCCGCGGUGCAUUAGCUAGUUGGUGGGGUAACGGCCUACCAAGGCGACGAUGCAUAGCCGACCUGAGAGGGUGAUCGGCCACAUUGGGACUGAGACACGGCCCAAACUCCUACGGGAGGCAGCAGUAGGGAAUCUUCCACAAUGGACGAAAGUCUGAUGGAGCAACGCCGCGUGAGUGAUGAAGGUUUUCGGAUCGUAAAACUCUGUUGUAAGGGAAGAACAAGUACGUUAGGAAAUGAACGUACCUUGACGGUACCUUAUUAGAAAGCCACGGCUAACUACGUGCCAGCAGCCGCGGUAAUACGUAGGUGGCAAGCGUUGUCCGGAUUUAUUGGGCGUAAAGCGCGCGCAGGUGGUUUCUUAAGUCUGAUGUGAAAUCUCGCGGCUCAACCGCGAGCGGUCAUUGGAAACUGGGGAACUUGAGUGCAGAAGAGGAUAGUGGAAUUCCAAGUGUAGCGGUGAAAUGCGUAGAGAUUUGGAGGAACACCAGUGGCGAAGGCGACUGUCUGGUCUGUAACUGACACUGAGGCGCGAAAGCGUGGGGAGCAAACAGGAUUAGAUACCCUGGUAGUCCACGCCGUAAACGAUGAGUGCUAAGUGUUAGGGGGUUUCCGCCCCUUAGUGCUGCAGCUAACGCAUUAAGCACUCCGCCUGGGGAGUACGACCGCAAGGUUGAAACUCAAAGGAAUUGACGGGGGCCCGCACAAGCGGUGGAGCAUGUGGUUUAAUUCGAAGCAACGCGAAGAACCUUACCAGGUCUUGACAUCCCAGUGACCGCUCUAGA
rnacentral:rRNA from 1 species